UACGAAGGGGGCUAGCGUUGCUCGGAAUCACUGGGCGUAAAGCGCACGUAGGCGGCUUUUUAAGUCAGGGGUGAAAUCCUGGAGCUCAACUCCAGAACUGCCUUUGAUACUGAGAAGCUUGAGUCCGGGAGAGGUGAGUGGAACUGCGAGUGUAGAGGUGAAAUUCGUAGAUAUUCGCAAGAACACCAGUGGCGAAGGCGGCUCACUGGUCCGGUACUGACGCUGAGGUGCGAAAGCGUGGGGAGCAAAGCAGGAUAAGAAACCCC
rnacentral:rRNA from 1 species